GACGAACGCUGGCGGCGUGCCUAAUACAUGCAAGUAGAACGCUGAAGGAGGAGCUUGCUUCUCUGGAUGAGUUGCGAACGGGUGAGUAACGCGUAGGUAACCUGCCUGGUAGCGGGGGAUAACUAUUGGAAACGAUAGCUAAUACCGCAUAAUAGUAGAUGUUGCAUGACAUUUGCUUAAAAGGUGCAAUUGCAUCACUACCAGAUGGACCUGCGUUGUAUUAGCUAGUUGGUGAGGUAACGGCUCACCAAGGCGACGAUACAUAGCCGACCUGAGAGGGUGAUCGGCCACACUGGGACUGAGACACGGCCCAGACUCCUACGGGAGGCAGCAGUAGGGAAUCUUCGGCAAUGGACGGAAGUCUGACCGAGCAACGCCGCGUGAGUGAAGAAGGUUUUCGGAUCGUAAAGCUCUGUUGUAAGAGAAGAACGAGUGUGAGAGUGGAAAGUUCACACUGUGACGGUAUCGUACCAGAAAGGGACGGCUAACUACGU
rnacentral:rRNA from 1 species